rnacentral:rRNA from 1 species
GAUGAACGCUGACAGAAUGCUUAACACAUGCAAGUCGAUGGGGAAGUGGUGCUUGCACCCUGGCAACCAUGGCGGACGGGUGAGUAACGCGUAAGGGACUUACCUGCAGGACUGGGAUAACAGGGGGAAACUCCUGACAAGACCGGAUAAUGUCAUGGAGCUGCAUGGCUUUAUGAUGAAAGGAGACGCCUGCGGAGAGCCUUGCGUCCUAUUAGCUAGUUGGUGAGGUAAUGGCUCACCAAGGCGAAGAUAGGUAGCCGGCCUGAGAGGGUGGACGGCCACAAGGGGACUGAGAUACGGCCCUUACUCCUACGGGAGGCAGCAGUGGGGAAUAUUGGACAAUGGGGGCAACCCUGAUCCAGCAAUUCUGUGUGCACGAAGAAGGUUUUCAGAUUGUAAAGUGCUUUCAGCAGGGAAGAAGUAAGUGACGGUACCUGCAGAAGAAGCGACGGCUAAAUACGUG